AUUGAACGCUGGCGGCAUGCUUUACACAUGCAAGUCGAACGGCAGCGCGGUGCAACCUGGCGGCGAGUGGCGAACGGGUGAGUAAUAUAUCGGAACGUACCCAGAAGUGGGGGAUAACGUAGCGAAAGUUACGCUAAUACCGCAUACGAUCUACGGAUGAAAGUAGGGGACCGCAAGGCCUUAUGCUUUUGGAGCGGCCGAUAUCUGAUUAGCUAGUUGGUGAGGUAAAGGCUCACCAAGGCGACGAUCAGUAGCUGGUCUGAGAGGACGACCAGCCACACUGGAACUGAGACACGGUCCAGACUCCUACGGGAGGCAGCAGUGGGGAAUUUUGGACAAUGGGCGCAAGCCUGAUCCAGCAAUGCCGCGUGAGUGAAGAAGGCCUUCGGGUUGUAAAGCUCUUUUGUCAGGGAAGAAACGGUAGAGGCUAAUAUCCUUUGCUAAUGACGUUACCUGAAGAAUAAGCACCGGCUAACUACGUG
rnacentral:rRNA from 1 species